UGGGGAAUUUUGCACAAUGGGGGAAACCCUGAUGCAGCGACGCCGCGUGAUUUAGAAGGCCUUCGGGUUGUAAAAAUCUUUUCUAUGGGAAGAAAAUGACAGUACCAUAGGAAUAAGGACCGGCUAAUUACGUGCCAGCAGCCGCGGUAAUACGUAAGGUCCGAGCGUUGUCCGGAAUCAUUGGGCGUAAAGGGUACGUAGGCGGGUAAGCAAGUUAGAAGUGAAAUCCUGUAGCUCAACUACAGUAAGCUUUGAAAACUGCUCAUCUUGAGAUAUGGAAGGGAAAGUGGAAUUCCUGGUGUGGCGGUGAAAUGCUCAGAUAUUAGGAGGAAUACCGGUGGCGAAGGCGACUUUCUGGCCAUAAUCUGACGCUGAGGUACGAAAGCGUGGGUAGCAAACAGG
rnacentral:rRNA from 1 species